rnacentral:rRNA from 1 species
AUGCAUGACCCGCAUGAGGCCCCUUUUCAGCUCCUUAAACGGAUCCACCGUUAUGACCGCGGGACAUUGCAUCUUGGGCUUCAGCUGCACCGCUCCAUGUUGCGUGAUCUCACUGUCUACUCCGAUGCCAAUUGGGCCGGGUGUCCUGGCACUCGAUCGACUUCUGGCUUCUGCGUUUUCCUUGGCAACAACCUGGUCUCCUGGUCCUCUCGCCGUCUGCCCACUAUCUCACUGUCCAGAGCUGAAGCCGAGUACCGUGUAGUCGCCAACUGCGUUGCCGAGACUACCUGGCUCGGUCAGCUGCUUACCAAGCUCCAUCAGCCCAUGACGUGUGCCAUUAUUGUUUACUGUGACAACAUGAGCACCAUGUACAUGUCAUAA